rnacentral:rRNA from 1 species
AUUGAACGCUGGCGGCAGGCCUAACACAUGCAAGUCGAACGAGUGGCGGACGGGUGAGUAAUGUCUGGAAAACUGCCUGAUGGAGGGGGAUAACGAAUGGAAACCGUAGCUAAUACCGCAUACCAUCAGAUGUGACGAGAGGGGAUUAGCUAGCUGGUGGGGUAACGGCUCACAAAGGCGACGAUCCCUAGCGGGUCUGAGAGGCUGACCAGCCACACUGGGACUGAGACACGGUCCAGACGCCUACGGGAGGCAGCAGUGGGGAAUAUUGCACAAUGGGCGCAAGCCUGAUGCAGCCAUGCCGCGUGUAUGAAGAAGGCCUUCGGGUUGUAAAGUACUUUCAGCGGGGAGGCGUUACCCGCAGAAGAAGCACCGGCUAACUCCGUGCCAGCCGCCGCGGUAAUAC